CGCACGCGCACUAGCCAGGCCGCACCUCCCCCUCCGGUCCCGCCCCUCCGCACACGUGCGCCGGCCGUUGAGCCGCCGUUGGCGUUAGCGCUCAUGCGUGCGGCGCGCGGGUCGAGUAGCCGUUAGCGGGCGGGAGGCUCGCGCUGCUCUGCGGUUGGCCGCGAGGCGGCUCGGCGGUGCUGGAGGCUGCGGGGAGGGUUCGGCUGCGCCUGCCUCUGGGACGGGGGGACAGCAGAAAGAAGACAUUGCAGCUAGAGGUGACUACCACAGGGAGGAAACACUGGCACAGGUUAACAGGUGGCCCAGAGGAUUAUAGAGUACGCUAGAAGAUUUCCUUUCAACUGUACAAACACUUCAGGAUUGCUCCCUGUGUGUGAAGGGAAAAUAGAAGUUGUAUGAUAAAGAUUUUUUGGCCACAACUUCUGAAGACUUAUAACCUUAGCGCUCUGCUAAGAAACAGAACCUUGUAAGAUUCAAGAAAAUUAUCUUAUCUGGCUUUUAUCCUGUUUGGAAGCAUCUAAAGAAAAACUGGAGACUGCAGGGAUACACAGACAACUGAAAGUUCUGGAAAGACUAGCCAGAUUUCGCCGUAAAUUGCAAAGAAUGAAGACAGGAACCAAGAAAGAACCUAAGGCUUUUCUGGUUCUACUCAAAGGCUGUUGAUCUAGUGGAGCUGUCUUGAGCAAACCUGUAUGAUAGCAAGCUGAUGGAAAUUCAGGAGCUAGAGAAGUGAAAGGAGGAUGGGAGAGGGUGCAAAAUCUGUACCAAGAGAAGAAAUAAAAAGAAACUGAGAGCCAAGUUCAGAUGAAAGCUUUCUCAGCAAGGAAAAUUGGCCUCUCUACUUUGGAAGACUUUUGUCUAUGGUUUAUGCAUGUAAGAGCCUUCCCACCUGCUUUCUACAAGCUGGAUGAAAUAUAUCCAUAAUGAUCUGUUUAAAGGACUUGGAGAGUGCCUGUUUUUAUGAGCAUUAAUUGCUUUCAGUGGGACUACUCAUUAGUAAAGCUCUUUUGGAUGGCUGUCGUCCAGAAACAAGACAACAUGAGCUAAUCUCCGUAGGGAAUGGGACAUCACAUCCUGACCUUGAUAUACAGGAUGUUUCUCUGAAUGAAUGAAAACAAAUCAACUGCAAUCUUACACAGAAAAGAACACGAACUUUAGAUGCCAUCUUCUAAAUAUCAGAGACUAAAAGGGCAAAGGACUGUACUCCAGUCACACACUCAAGCCAUACACCAAGACAAAAAUCUCUAUUAUAUCAUCUGCAAUUAUGAUGCCAAUUUGGAUUAGCCACUGCCCCAGCUAACCAUUUCGCGUGCCUUUGAGAAAGUCAGAUUAGCACUGCUCAUAGCAUAACGUGGUUACAUGCAGGUUACAACCUGGCGGUAGAAGUAAUAAAGCAGCCAGAACAUUCUCAUGACUCAGUCUGGAUGGAUGCCAAACCACAUUUCAGAGGGGUGAGAAAGGCCCAACAUCUGCUUCUGGUGUAACUGUUUGUAUCUUCACUCUAGGAAAAUUAGGUUUGAAAUAAUCUCAAAUUGUCUGACACCUGUAUCCUAUUAGAAGUGACACAUGGAAACACCUUCAGCGUACUGAAUUUAGCACCAUGUCAACAGUUUAAAAUUAACAGGAAAAAUUGGUAAAAUCAUUGCUUCUCAGUUUCUGCUGAAACAGAUCUUGUGUCAUUUCACAAGACCAUACUGAAAACUUGAUCCAUAGAAGUAAUGGGGUUUGAACCAGUAAUUCUAACAUAGUUUGUGUCCUUAGCUAUAGCUGGAAUUAAGUCAAGUGUGCACCUUAAGAUGACCCGUGUUUUGUAUUUUGAGCCAACACUCACUGGAGACAUCCCUAAGGAUUGAUUGCCAGCUAGCAAGCAUCUAGGACAUGUAAUGAUUUCAGUGACAGUUAUUCUGAAGUUCAGGUUUGAAGUUCAACAAUUUUCAGCUUAUUAAAAUAAUGAGCAGGUCAUAACUGAUAUGUCUCAAGAGAGUGAGUCAGUUUUCUGCUACAGAAUCUAAAUUUUUGUGUCAUAAAGUUUUGCUGUUUUUUGGACACACAGAAAAUCCCAAAGACUUCUGAAGUCAUUCAUCUAUUCUGUUGUAUCAAGAGCACACUUCCCUCCCUGCAGUGUUACUUGCAGACUCCCCAUGUGCUAUCUCCAACUCACUUUCACCUCCUCCCAAGCACCGUGUCUCACACCUGUGAUUAUUCUCCACGGAUUUCCCUAGGCUUCUAUAACAACUCUCAGCUUGUAGUGGACACAUCAAUUUUCCUUAAAUUAUUUGCGUUCAAAGAGGCUUCUCCAUUGCUGAGAGUUUAGGCAACCAAGGUAUAUGAACACGUCUCUUUCUCGGUAGGCAUGUACUAGUUCAUUUUGAACUUCCUCCCCAAAUCUAUAAAAGCCCCCAUGUGCAAAUUGCUCUCUUUUAGGAACAUAUCUAGUGACCAUUUGCCAGGUAAGAUACUGACAAUAAGAUUCAAGUUCUUUUGAGAAAGAACAGUCAUUAAAAUUCAUAAAAAUGUUAUGACUUUCAUAAAAAUUAUGCUGCCUAAAAGAUACACUAUCCCUUACAAAAAUAUGUCUUUCUAUUCAUCUUUGAACACAUCCCCCGCCUUUUUUUAAAGAAAUUUGGAUGCGUUUGAGACAUUAAUUGUUUUUAAAUAUAGUUUGAGAACAAGGGAAACAGUUUUCUUUUUACAUAGUAUGGUUUUUCAAUAGUUCUGCAUUUUCAAUGAACAAUGUCUAGAGUCAAAACACAGGAAAAACACUGACCUUCAUUAUUCUUCUCCUUAUGGUCCUGCCAGUCCUAAGACAUCAUGUGAGCAGUUAUUUCAUCAUUGAAAUAGCUGUAACAAGCAAAAUGGAUAGCUACAUAAACACAGACAGGUCAAAACAUUUUAAGACUUAGAAAAUAGCAAAUUAACCUUCGGAAAUUUAAGCAAAUAGCCAGUACCAAGGUUUGUCUGUUGUUUGAUACAGGACAGCACUGGAGGACAGGGAAGAACUGCCCUAGCCAACGGAGGCUCUGCAGCAGGCCUGGUAAUACGUAAAAUCACUGGCAUCUUGUCAGCGUUAGUCAGUUCAGUUUAGUGCUCCUUUCUUCUUCUUCUCUUUUUUUUUUGUCUAGUCAAAAGAUAAUAACAAUAAAGAACACAAAUGCUCAAUAAACUCCUAUAUGUAAUCUGCUGUCAGUAUAUAAGCAAAGUCCAAACUCAUGCAAAAAUAGUCAGGAAAAGUUAAAAAUAUGUGCAAUAAAAAUAAUUUCAACACAAAUUACAGCAUGCUAAUGAAAAAUAUGUAAAAGGUAGAAAAAUGGGGUAACAAAGGCAAGCAAAAGCAAUACUAUUGAGCCACUUACUAGGAGGAGUAAAACAUUCAAGAUCCUGGAAAAAGAAGAAAGUGUCAAUACAAUCUUCAGGCCCAGGACUACCCAAAUUAGUUUCCUGUAUAGAAUGGUAGUGGUGACACUAAACAGAGGAUAAUUUGUACUAUUUUGCAUGCACCUAUAGCUGAAAAAUAUCAGGGAGAACUUGGAGAAAACCCAAGCCUAGCUGGGGUGGAAUUUCUUCUAGUUGAACAGUUUCAGUGUCACAGCAUGAUUUUGGAAUAGCUUAACAGAAACUCUUCCCAAUGUCUUAGGUCUGAAACUCUCAGCUUAAGAGAACAAACUUUGAAUAGCCUUGAAAGCUUCCCAAGGAAGAAUAUAAUACAGUGCUAUAAGCAAAACGUGUGUUGUAUAUUAGAGGAAAAAAAAAAAGCAAUGUGAAAUUCAAUGAAGGAAGCUUAUGGCUACCUGUUGGAAACAGCCUUCUGAAAAGGGUGAUACUUGGCAGGGCAGUCCCCAAAAAACGUCAUUGCAAAUCACAUCAUUGAGUUAUUAAACAACGGCAACACUCUGAAUGGAACAAUAUGGGACAGACAGUAAUUCUUCAUUAGGAAUAUCCAAUUAGAAGAUUUCUCUUUUGAAAGUAUCUUUUAUCUAUUACUGAAAUAGAUGAGAGAAAAUAAGGGUGCCAGGUACAGCUGCUGUACUUCAGGUUUACCGAAAAAAUGACGGGGUGCCGACAUGAAUUUAUAUGGCUGCCAUACUGCUCUUCCUGUAUUUCAGUCAUGUUACAGCUGAGAUUCAACUGGAAUAUAGAUGCAGAGUCCUGCUAUCUGGAUGUGCAAAUGCUGAUCCCAUUCAAGUAUCAGUAAAAGUGUGUGUGUGUGUAUAUAUAUUUGUGUAUAUAUAUAUACAGAGAAAGAAUAUGGAAGCAAAGCCAGAGAGAAGAGGUCAAGGAAAUCAAGUAGAUUAGUCAUUGGCAUCUUGCAUUUGGGAUCUGGGUCCUUCUGAAAUGUUUUCACAGUUCAGUUGUUAAGUACAACCAAGAUUUAAAACCCUUUUGUCAUAUCAGCAACCACAGAAUUAUUCCAUGGAGGCUGAGGCCUGACUGAAUCUGAAAGUGAAGCACCCUAUUUCCCCUUCUUCCCUCUAAACAAAUUAAGGUGCAUGAGCAGCAGGCAUAUCUUUCAAGCCGCAUUUCAGAUGUUUGUUUUCUUCAGAUUAAUGAAGAUGUUUUUUUCUUUGUUUGUUUCUGUAGUUCACUGUACUUUACUCCUAAGAAAGAAACACUGUGCUAGCCGGGGACCCUUUCUAUUUCACAACAACAGAGCAGUUGCCGUUGGAAAACCUGCGCAAAGGCAUGGGAUCCUUUUCUCAUUGCUGUAAACCAGCAAAGCUCUGAUCUGCAGGUCUCAGUGAAGCUUUUGAUGAAGCUAUAUCAGUUUGUGCUGCUGAAAAUCUACUCCUGUAUGUGAAAUGAUUUAUGGAAAGUUACAGGAAAAAAUGCAGAUUUUGUUCCUUAUAUCACUACUUACUUUAAAGACAGGAUGCACUUACGUAAGGUGGGCAUACUGUCCUGUCCCUAAAGAAAUGACAACUGAGAGAGGGUUAUAAAAUGGACAUAGAAGUGCUAGGUGAAGUCAGUGCCAGAGCAUCUUCCAUUUUGAAAUGAAAGUCAAUGUGAUACUAUUAAAUACAAUAACAUUUAAAAAUUCAUAACGCUCUUCCCAAGAUGAAUUUCUUUCAUGCAUUUUUAAAGAUUUGCACUUCUGUAUCAUUAGCUGUAGGUGUUAGCCAACACAAUCAUUCACAAAUAGAAGAGCACAGUGAGAAACAGAAGGUAAUGAGCUUAAAGGCAGCCAGGUAUGACACAUCAUAGAGGUAAAGACAGGUACAGGCAUUGAGUAUGCACGCAUAGCUAGUCACAGCGCAGGAUUCGAGAUACCACCUGCUGAAUGGAAGGAUGCCAAAAGACUUUUAAGUUGUAAUUUUGUGCUUAGGGAGAGAAACCGAGGAAAAGGAAUCCACUUCCUUUGGAAAUACUUGUUGACAGCAAGUCCUAUGAAGUUAUAUGCAUCUAUGCUGCCUACCGUAAUGUAUUACAAACAGGUUAAACUACUGGACUUACUGCACUCUUGGAUAUCUACAAAAGCAAGCUAUGAAUUUUGUUGAUUUGUUGUGUUGUAAUAGUCUUGCAUUUAUAUCUUGGCUCUGGCAAUCGUUCAAGGAAACAAUGUUGGUGAGGGACUGAUUUGAUCAGCAUUAUAUGGCCAGAUGAUAACAUUUAUUUCAGUUUCCAGAAGACACGUGACAAAGCCCCACACAUGGAAGGGGAGAGAUGUAUUGCUCUGCAUCAAAAACUGAAUAGGAGACCAAACCCAAAAUUAGAUGCAAAUAUUAAUUUCAUAAUGGCAUUAGGUGAAGAUCUAACUGCCUUGCAAUUCUUUACCAAACUGUAUGUUACUUGUAAUAUUUAUUAAUAAUUUAGCAUAAGCAGUGAAGAAGCCCAGCCUUUGGAGGAACUGUUCUUAAGGGCUGUAAGUACCAGUGAGGACUGGAAGGAAUUUCAGAAGGACGUAACGUGUCUACAAAAGAGCUACAGCCUUUUAGUAAGUGCUCUACAGCAACGUCCUGGUUGUUAAUUUAGAAACUUCCAAGAUGUAUUUUGCUUUUAUCAUCACACAGUCCAUUUACUGCCUUGUUUAAGCCCAAGGCUAUAUUGUACUUGAAAAACAAAACCACCUCUCUUUCUGUCCCCAAAACCAGAGACUGCAACAUAAUAUCAGAACCGAAAAACAGGAUAAAACAACUCCUGCUGAGCUCUCCCAUAGCCCCCAUCACACGGAUAUCAGUACCUGAGUUAACUGCUGGUGUUUGUUUGCCUCACGUCUCCUUUCGUGCACGUUCGUGUUGUAAACCUUAUUGCUUUUCAAAAGUGAUACAAACUGGUGUUUUUUGUUUUUUGGUUUUUUUUAACUUCUAAAAAAAGCAGCUCUACUGUAUCAUGGAAAAACCGACGAGAAACCCGCUGUACCAGGAAAUUCACUGGCUUGCUGCCCACCCCCUGCCAUCUUUUGCUAGGGGUCCCCUCGCACUCCCUGGAGGUGCGGGACAGCAGCCCAAGAGAAUCACUCAGCUGCCGCCCCCCAGCUGCCCCGCUCCCCGAGGGUCCUGCACCUUUUCUCCCUCAUACCUGGAAGCGUGUCCAUCAUGGGAGCCCGAGGCAGCCACGUACCAAACACAUCCAGCUGCGCAGUAACGACUGCUGCUGGGUUUCCCACAUCAUCAGGUGGGCACCUAUUACAGGAUGAAAAGAAUCAGCUGCCCUCCCCACAGCAGAGUAGAUAUCCUUGCUAGAUAUGCCACCGGUGACAGACUGGAGCGUGUGAGCUCCCCGUGUCUCAUUAAUAAGUAAGUUAUACACAUCCAAAUAUGCAGUAUGCCUUUUACAGAAAGGAAUAUGCUUUUUAUUUGCCGAAGGCAUGUGCUGCGCUAUGUACUAUGCUUCUGACAGGCUCCUAUGAUGUGACCUUGUUUGUCAAUUCUUAGUUGAAUGCAUAUGUUUUCAUGGACGGUUCUAAAGGCCUGAAAAUGCCUGUUUAUAAUAGAAAUGCUGGCUAAUUCAGAAAAAUACCAGAGGAAACAUCACAGCUAUCUUCCACUGAUGUGCAUAAUAAAUGUGCAUGGCCAUUCUAAAGAAAUGUCAAGCCUACUUAUAUUUGUUAGGACUGUAAAAUAGACCUCACUUCUAAUUUACUGGUUUAACUUGAAAUAUACUUCUAAGGUCAAAGUCAUCUUAAAUGCUGUAAAAUCGAGUAUUGAUCAUUUUCUCUCUUCAGCCAUGUUAACUACUUCAUACAUCAAAACCGCCUUUUCAGUUUAUCCACAGAAGUCCCAAAUGCAUAAAAACACAACUUAGAAAAAGAACUUUCUGAAAGAGUGAGAUCUUCUGCCAAACUGAAACAAGUUUCCCCCUCCCUGGUGCCAUCAUUCUUUCUGAUUUAUGGAAAUGUUAUUCACUUCACCUUACUAAAAAUUCAUUACAUUUGAAAAAUAAAAAGGUUAUUCACUUUAAA